UUGGCACAGCCAUGAAGACUGAACUACCCCAUUAACUUGCAGACAAGUGAAGCAUGGGUAGCAGCCAUGCAAGCUGCCUCCACAUUACUGCCAUGGCCUUGAGAGGCCAAGUCUAACAAUGUAGAUAGUUCAGUCUCCACACCCAUUCAAUCCCUGGCCUCG
rnacentral:sRNA from 1 species